AGCGAACGUUAGCGGCGGGCCUAACACAUGCAAGUCGAACGCGAAAGGUCUUCGGACUGAUUAGAGUGGCGCACGGGUGAGUAACACGUAGGUAAUCUACCCUUUGGCGGGGGAUAACGUUCCGAAAGGAGCGCUAAUACCGCAUAAGACCACGGAGUCUCCGGACGCUGUGGGAAAAGGUGGCCUCUUCUUGAAAGCUAUCACCGGAGGAUGAGCCUGCGUCCCAUCAGCUAGUUGGUAAGGUAAUGGCUUACCAAGGCAAAGACGGGUAGCUGGUUUGAGAGAAUGAUCAGCCACACUGGCACUGGAACACGGGCCAGACUCCUACGGGAGGCAGCAGUGAGGAAUAUUGGGCAAUGGGCGAAAGCCUGACCCAGCCACGCCGCGUGAGUGAUGAAGGCCCUCGGGUCGUAAAGCUCUGUGGAGAGGGACGAAAAACCUGGGGUCUAAUAGGCCCCGGACUUGACGGUACCUCUUUAGCAAGCACCGGCUAACUCUGUGCCAGCAGCCG
rnacentral:rRNA from 1 species